rnacentral:rRNA from 1 species
GCAUGCAAGUAGAGCGAAGCUUUUUGGUAGUUUACUACUAGAAAUGACUGAGCGGCGAACGGGUGAGUAACGCGUGAGCAAUCUACCUUAGUUACUGGGAUAGCCCGAGGAAACUCGGAUUAAUACCGGAUAUUCUUAUUUUUUCACAUGAAGUUUUAAGGAAAGGUCAGCCGAACUAAGAUGAGCUCGCGUUCUAUCAGCUAGUUGGUGGGGUAAAAGCCUACCAAGGCUACGACGGAUAGCUGGUCUGAGAGGACGAUCAGCCACACUGGGACUGAGACACGGCCCAGACUCCUACGGGAGGCUGCAGCAGGGAAUAUUGUGCAAUGAGCGAAAGCUUGGCACAGCGACACCGCGUGUGGGAUGACGGUUCUAGGAUUGUAAACCACUUUCAGGAGGGAAGAAAAUGACGGUACCUCCACAAGAAGACCCGGCCAACUAUGUGCCAGCAGCCGCGGUAAUACAUAGGGGUCAAGCGUUGUCCGGAUUUAUUGGGCGUAAAGAGCUCGUAGGCGGUUCAACAAGUCGGUCGUAAAAGUUUAGGGCUCAACCCCUAAAAUGUCGAUCGAUACUGUUGUGACUAGGAUACGGUAGAGGUGAAUGGAAUUCCGAGUGUAGCGGUGAAAUGCGUAGAUAUUCGGAGGAACACCAAUUUGCGAAAGCAGUUCACUGGACCGUGAUCGACGCUGAGGAGCGAAAGCUAGGGGAGCAAAC